rnacentral:rRNA from 1 species
GACGAACCGUGCGAACGUUAUUCGGAAUCACUGGGCUUAAAGGGCGCGUAGGCGGGCCGACGAGCCAGGGGUGAAAUCCUCCAGCUUAACUGGAGAACAGCCUUUGGGACCGGCGGCCUCGAGGGGUGCAGGGGCAUGCGGAACUCAGGGUGGAGCGGUGAAAUGCGUAGAGAUCCUGAGGAACACCGGUGGCGAAAGCGGCGUGCUGGAUCCCUUCUGACGCUGAGGCGCGAAAGCCAGGGGAGCGAACGGG